GCGCGAAAACUUUACAAUGCGGGCAACCGUGAUAAGGAAACCCCGAGUGCCAGCAUAGGCUGGCUGUCCACCAGUGUAAACAGCUGGUGAAGAAAGGGCCGGGCAAGACCGGUGCCAGCCGCCGCGGUAAUACCGGCGGCUCGAGUGGUGGCCGCUAUUACUGGGCUUAAAGGGUCCGUAGCUGGAUUUACAAGUCCCUUGAGAAAUCCGCCGGCUUAACUGGCGGGCGUUCAGGGGAAACUGUAAUUCUAGGGACCGGGAGAGGUGAGAGGUACUGCCGGGGUAGGAGUGAAAUCCUGUAAUCCCGGUGGGACCACCAAUGGCGAAGGCAUCUCACCAGAACGGGUCCGACAGUGAGGGACGAAAGCUGGGGGAGCAAACCGG
rnacentral:rRNA from 1 species